rnacentral:lncRNA from 1 species
GGAACACAUGUCGCAGAGUAUCGUCCUAUGUUGAAAGUCGUCUAACAAACCAAUUCGUCACCUAUGAGGCACAAUUCCGACACGAACUCUUGUAUUUCAACUAGAAGGUGACAAUUCAAACAGAGAAAUGUUUGCACAACUGAGUCAAAUGACACCAAAUCUAGAAGUCCUGACAUCCAAAUGAUGUUAAAACCGACACUUUACUAGAAUAGAAGAAAAUCCUAAGUAUGCUCUGAACAAACCACGCUCUGAUACCAAUCUGACACGCCCUGACCCUGAUAUUCCCUGAAUACAGGAUAGACACGUGCUGGCCGACACCCGAAGGUGACGAAAGCCAUUAAUUGAUACAAAAGCUAAGGAUAAGAAGUAAAUAAAAGUUAGAAAUUUAAAAUACAAUGAAA